rnacentral:rRNA from 1 species
UACGGAGGGGGCGAGCGUUAUUCGGAAUUAUUGGGCGUAAAGGGCGCGUAGGCGGCUAGGUAAGUCAAAGGUGAAAUCCCUCGGCUCAACUGAGGAACUGCCUUUGAAACUGUCUAGCUCGAGGCCGGGAGGGGGUGGCGGAAUUCCCAGUGUAGCGGUGAAAUGCGCAGAUAUCAGGAGGAACACCGGUGGCGAAGGCGGAUCUCUGGGCCAUUACUGACGCUGAGGAGCGAAAGCGUGGUGAGCGAACAGG